GGCGCCGCCGGGGCGGGGGCCGGGGCUGGGGCCGGGGGUGCCGGCAGCAGCAGCAGCAGCAGCAGCAGCAGCAGGUGCUGCCGGGCGCCCCGGAGCCGAAAACCCCGCGCCCGUGGGCGGGCGGGCUGAGGAACCAGCCGGGACCCGGCACAGCCCGAGCGUGUCUGUGCCUUCACAAAGCCCGGUGCCGAAAAGCCGUCCCUCGAGCGGGAGCGUAGGGAAACCUCUUAAUCGUUCCUAACUACUUAAUGACAGAGCCUUUAAAUGGGUCCGCGUUGCCGUCUCGUUCCCUGUGGGUGCUGCGGGAGCUGGGGGUUGAUUCCAGCGUUGGCUGGCCGGCGCGGAGGUGCCGCCCGGAGCGCGCUCCCGCCCGCUGCUCAACCCUGCGCCCGUGAAUGCGGCUCUUGUUCGAGCGCCCUGCCUCAAAGGAUGAAGCAGCCUGAAAGGUGACAAGGACUGACUUAUUCAGAGACCGGUCUCUCUGCUGCCCUUGUUCCCCACCCAGGGCUCUUCAGGAGAUGCAUAAAUGAGAUUCGAGACUUACUUGGGUUUGUUUGUUUGCUCUUUACCUUCCUGAUCUCUUCCAUUGAAGAUAUUGGAGGUGGGGUGGAUAAAUAGGGGACUGAAUUACCUGGAAUGCCAGUUGAUUUGUCUCUUUCAAGGCUAAGCCUUUUUCAGAGGCCGAACAAAGUAAAGAUGGGCAUCUUUCAGACAAGGACAAGUGACUGCCAAUGAAACAAAGUUGUUAACUACUUCUAAUAUCUUUCAUAUAAAAACUUGACAGUGUAAAUUAAGGCUUAUACUUGUGAAAUAGGUAUUCCUAGAUUUUUAUUUUUUUAUAUCUUUAAUUAUGCAUCCUCUAAAUUCAGCAGGUAUAAAUUGAGCUGAAAAUGUAGGACCACUUUCCACAGCUGACUAAGAUGCCUCAGACUGUGAGUUAUGGAUAUUGCCACUACAACAUUAAAAAAGAAUUGAGGACAGGCAGCACAGAAUCAUUUAGGUUGGAAAAGGCCUGUGAGAUCAUAGAGUCCAACCUUUGACCAAACACCAACUCAUCAAGUGGACCCUGGCACUGAGUGCCACGUUCAGUUGUUUCUUGAACGCCUCCAGGGAUGGUGACUCCACCACCUUCCUGGGUAGUCCAUUCCAAUGCUUGACAACCCUUUCUGCAAAGAAAUUCUUCCUGAUGUCCAGCUGCAUUGCCCCACAGCUUUUCUCUGUGUGUUUCUGUACAUAAAACCAAAUGUAAGCAGGCAUGCUUUUCUGUUGUGUUUUCUUUUUUUUUUUUCCCCUGUUUAACCAUUAAAUUGUUUGAACUUUCUUGGACCAUAGUUAAACAAAGCUGAUAGUGCAUACACUGCAACUCUGCUGAUGGAGCAAUAGCAAUCGAUCAGAAGCUAUAAUUUUUCCUGCUAUGAACUUAAUCCUUGAGUGUUCCUAGUAUGCACUCAUUCUGUUACCUUAGAACUAAAUGUUUGUGUUACCUUACAUUUUACCUUCUGCUACUAGGUGUGUUUUUGGCAAGCUCUGCCCUAGAGACCAUGGCAUGCAAGUAGUUUUGCAAGUUAUCAACAGCUUGUUCUGUGCUUUGGUUCAUACUGUUUAUAUGGUUUUUGCAAGAUACCUUCUGUAGCCAGUGAAGAUACAGUGUACUAGUGACUUUGUACAGAUUUCCUUUUUAAAAACAAGUUGUUGGUUUUGCUAUUAAUACUAAUUAAACACAAUGAAUUGUUUUGCUUUUCUCUGAAUGCAGUUGACUUUCAGAACCGUUGUAUUCCUUGCUGGCAGUGCAAGUAGAUGUCAACAUAGUAAUAUACAACCCAGAAACAAGCUGGAUUACAAAUGACAAUAAAUAAUCUGGUCAGCUGGGGAGCAAAGGAGAAUGCUUUUGUACUUUGGUGCUGUGGAUCUGGUGAUCACAGUGCCUGUGAUUUGCAGAGGUUUUAUUUUGUCCUGGCCCUUGUUUGAUUCUGUGCAUUGAAUACAUGUGAAAGUGUAGUUAAAUUUCUUCCUGGAGUACCUUGGAGUAAUAGUCUGUCUUUAGGCUUUGUUUAGUUCACACUGAGCUCAGAUCACAAACUGAGUCUGAUCUGCAGUAUGCAACAGAAUGUAGUACGAGGACAAAUGUAAGAAUUGAACCCUUCAGUUAAAUUAAAAUCCCACUUGUGGUCACACCUGAAGCACCUGUGGGGCUACAGACAUCCUCGGGAGAGAGCCACACUUUGAGGCAGAUUGAACUUUUAAAAUAAGCAUGCAAUAUGUACUCUGCAUUUUUGCUAGCUCUGUCUGCUGAGGGGAUGCCUUGGGCUUGAAGGAGUUUUGUCUUCCUUUAUUUUCUGUCUUGGUUCUGUCAGGUCCCUCAUCAGCACUGCUGAUUGCUAGAUCUUUUCUUUAAAACACCAGGUUCUUUAGCAGGGAACUUCAGGCUGGCUGUUUGUGUUCUGUGUCCUCCCAUCUUACAUUAUCCCGUCUUUAUGUUGGAGUUUUUAGAUUUUACUCAGUUACGUACUUACCAACACUUGAAUUGUAGGCAGGAGAGAUUGUUCCUAGGCAUUUAUUGCCUUAGUAGCUCUAUUUACAGUCAAAUCAGUAAGGAAGUUACUUUCUUUUUUUUUUUUUUUUCCCUGCAUUGUGUUGUGUGAACUCGAGUGGAUCAAAGACACUUGGGUGCAAAAUAGCUUCUGAAAUGUUUUAAAAUCAAACCUUAUACACUGAUUUUCUCAAGAGAAAGAAAUGUGAGUGAUAAAAAGGAAGUAGGAAACAAAUAAUAGGUUGUGUUUCUUUUUCUAACUAUAUGCGUUUCUGUAGUGUUUCUUACGAUGGACUGUUUUUUAAAAUCUCUGUUGUGGGAUCAAUUGCUACAGAUCAGCCAGUCUUUAGGACUAUAUUUCUGCCUUAAUGAAUGGGUCAUUACACACAGAAGACACAGUUUGUGACUGAGCAAACUGGCAAAUACUAAAAUGACUUUGUUGUGUCGGCAUCUUGCACAUACUGUGUAAGCAGUUUCCAACUGCUGAAAAACAAAACCCAGACCUGUGUGUCUCUUUGAGGUUGCAAGAGGUGCAAAAAUGUCCCAAGUUGGACCUAUCACAAGUCUCUGAAUUCUGAUGCUUCCUAACAAUAGUUAACAUUCAUUUGGACUGUAAAUUAAGUAAUAAGAUUGUCAGAUAAUGGCAGCGAGUGAGUAAUAGCAGAUGGAACUUGAAAAUAAUUCUGCAAAGGGUUGUGAAGGUCCCGAGGUAGAAAGCAUUGUCAGAUGUGAUACAGCAUUUUUUAUGGCCUGGCUAAAACACCAAAUUAUCAGUGAUGACUUCUCUGUGUGACCUCCAAAUGCUCUUAUUGCCGGUCCUCUUUGCUACUCCCAGCCAAAAGGAGUAAAAAAGCUUUGGAGGAAAGUUGCUCAAGAAUCAUGUUUGGCCCCUCUCUAGAGAAACAGCGGGUUUUAAGUAGGUUAGUUCUGGCCUGUAAUGGAAGUGAGGUUGAUGAGUCUCCUCCAGGCACCAAAGAAACAGGAGAGGUGUUUGGGGCCAAGCAGCUGAACAAAGAGAAGGGAUCUAAUCAAGCUCACUGUGAUACUGACUUCUUUCUCCCUUAGCCUCUCUUGCAUUAGUUGGGCUGGAACCCGCAACCUACCACAUGCUCAGCUCUUACAGUUGCUGUUAACCAGCUGCAGACUGUAAUGCAAAUAUGUUAAAAUCAAGUUAAAUAGUUGAUCUGUGAUAACUUGCCAGUUAAGGCUUCAGGCAUGUCUAAGUGGUGUGUAUGUGACUGUGACUGCGAGAAUGACCAGAGGGCAAUCAGCAUUUGCCUUGUUGGCACAAGGGUUUUUGAAGGGCACUGGAGUUUAUGCUUCACUCUUUCUUAUUUUUAUCAGUGCACUCUGAAAAUUUUUCACCUGUGUCACUAUCAAUUGCCUUUUUAAAAUAUGACUUGCCCUCUUGCAACUUUUUUUAUGGCUUUUCAGGUGGAAGGCAAGGGAAGGGAGAGAGAGCAAAGUAAAAUAUAGGUCAAACUUGAGCAUAUAGACACCUUGAGAGUGCCUUGGCUUCAUUUGCAUGUUUUAACAAUGCUUGUUCAUCUCUGCUACAGUUAGACAUUCGGUUGUUUGGACAGAUGUCCUCCCAGCUGACUGCUUCUUGUCUACCAGAGGAGAAACACUGUCAUCAAAUAGUUUCACACUAGACAUUGACUGGGUGCUUUCAGCUGAAUUCUGUGCAUCUUAGGAAAACGGUCUCACUUGAGGUGACUGCAGCUUUUCUGUGAUUUUGUUGACUCCCUUAGCAUCACUAUGUGCACAACUUUUAAGCUUGAGGGUUCUCCACGUUGAAAUGUAGGAGUGCUUCCUCUGUCUCAGCUUCUGAGAAGGUAAUAGAUGCUGCUGAGCACUCACAGAUGUCAGUUGCAGGAAAUCCGGGCUAGGAAGGAAAAGAGUAACAGAAGGCAACAACUGUGGUACUUCUGCCAGUUGAUCCCUCUUGCCUUUAAUACAGUAGCAAGAGGAUGACAAAGUGGUUUGGCUUUCAUACAUCCUCAGGGACAGGGCAGUUGAGAAGUGAAGGGGCACAGAGUCUGUUGAUUAUCUGCCACACAUCAAGGCUGUACAUUACUCUUUGCCUGCAGCUUGCCUUGUGUUAGCUGUUUAGAGGAAACCUGCAAGUGUUUAGGAAAUUUUGUGAAUCUGAAAGUGUGCGUGGUUUGGUAGUCUUAAAGCGAAAAGAUUUUUCAGUUGACUAAGCUUACUUUUUCACUUAAAAUCCUUUCUACAGGAUAUAUGCAAUUUCUAGUUUACCAGUGGGGUUUGACCAGGAAUUAGAUGUGGUACAGGACUGAAAAGAUUAUUGGAGAAUUUUUGAAGUAGUAUCUGUUCUGAUUUCUGUCAGUUAGUGGCUGGAAGCUCCCUUGCUAAGAAUGCCCCUUCUGUAUACUUACUAGUAUAGUGCUGAAAUAGUAUUAAAAUAGCAGAAAAUUGUGUUCCAGUGCAUACGUUGUGUGUAUGGUUUUUAAUGUUACAGAGUUUCCUGCAAAAAAAAAAAAAAAAAAAAAAAAAGGGGGUUUAUAUAUAUGCUGACACAACAUUAAGAAAUACUCUAAUGCACAGCCAGCUCUUAGCAGCAAACUGAUGGUAUUGCCAGUCUAAUUCACUGACCCAGCAGGAGAAAUGGACUAGGCAAACCAAGCCAUUACAGGUCUGAGAGUGUCUGGGUCAGACUGUUUCCUAGUCUGUUAUCUCAGUUCACUGAUCACGUCUUUCUAGCCUGCCACAAUUCUGCCACCGCAUCUCGGUAUUUGGAAACAUUUGUUCAGAGCAGCCUCUACUCAUUCCCCAGUUCUCUUCAAAGAUUCGUCUUGAGUUAAUGUAGUGUUGAAGAGAUGUAUAGUAAGUAACAUAAAAACACUUUAUUUCAGGUUAAGCCCUAAAUACAUAAUAACAGAAAUCUCAAAGCUGAGAGCCUUUUUAUGACAGGUUUUUUGUCCUUGUUAGACCCCUUAAGAUAAGCCCAUCACCUUGCUAUUCAUACAAAGCAUCCUGUCCCUGGUGACAUUGGAAGCAUGCCUUGCCUUGCUUCCUCCUCCUGCUGCCUGAUACAGAAAUGAUAUAGGGAGAUAGACUGGUGUGGUUGAGGUUAUGUAAAGUUUUUGGUUGACCCUGGAAACCUGGUUGGUUGUUUGGCUUUACAAGGUGGCUUAGUGAAGGUACAGCCCUCAAGAGUUAAUAGCCACCAGGGUGUAUUUUUCUCUACAGAACAGGAGUUCUGUAGUUCAAAAGUCUACCUGAUUAAAAAUGUUGUUACAAGUGGUACUCUGCUCCACCCAAGUCUGAUCACUUUUGGUUUUUUUAUUUGAUGUUGUUAGGACAAGCAAGAUUUUUAUUCUAGCAUGUGCAAGCUCACUGAAUUGUCAGACAAAUAAGUUGCUUUACACGGACCUGCUUUUUUUUUUUUUUUUUUUUUUUUUUUUUAAGCACCCGUUUCCCCUUAAGACAGGUUGAUAAAUAGGAAAUGAGGGGUGUGAUGCUACUAGCAUGCUUCGGCAGCAUCUUCUAGCAUGUCUUCAAAGAAACAAGACCUUUGAAGUUGUAUUGAAGUGUGGGGAUGAAAUACAAAAGUGCUUGUGAAACCAGAAAUCUGUGACAUUUUCCUCCUACUGCCUAAGAAACUGAAUAGGUAUUAGAGUGUUCUAAACAAGCAGCUUUCUGUAAAUUUCUUAACCUGAAGCAUAUUUUAAUGCAUGGCUCUAAAUAGGAGAGAAUGUAGUGUGUUACUUUAUGCUUCAAUUCACUCACUGAGUUGAAAAUCUUAUUGGGCCUCUGUAAGCAAAGCUGUCAAGCUUGGAUUACUUGUGUUUUGACUUGUCCUAAUUAACUAUUCUUGUACACUGAGAGCAUGGCAGGUUGGGGGGGAGGGGGUGGCGGGAAGCUUCAUUUUAAACUCAAUUUCCUCUUCUACUUCUCCUGUGUAAUAUCAACAUUUUCUGUCCAAUCCCUCUGCAUCUAGCAAAUUCAUCUGAAUAAACUGUGUUUUUAUUGACAAUAGGACUGUUUUGGUUUCAUUUAAAUCUGCUUAAAUCAAUUGCAACUGAACUGAAAUGUAUUAUUUUGGAAACAGACUGCUGCAUGGGUUACCAUCUGUUUAUGCAACCGGUACCAGCUCUGUUGCAAGAGUCUCAUGCAAACACUGUCUGGUUCUAACCAUGCCUCACAUAGGUCACCAGCUGGUGUGAGGGCUUGAUUAAACCCUUGGCUCUUCUGCUUCCACUCUCUUAUCUCUGAAAUGGGGACAACAGUGUGUUCCAAAGCCCUUCUAAAGGGGAGUUGGCCACAUUAGUCACCAUGUAUGUAUUCAGAUAGGAAGGAAGCCUAAUCUGGUAUUAUAGAUUAUUCCAAUGUCUUAAUUUCAGCUGAUGCAACAUAAAAGUUGUUGAAAUACUUAUUUUUUCUUUUCCCCAUCCAAGGCAAAGUGUGUUGUAAGCAUACUGGAACAGAAGCCCACAAAAUUAAGCUAUACCAGUGAAAGCUGUGACACAGUCUGAUAGGUUUUAUUUCUGAAUGAGAAUGAUUGUGGGCCAGUGAAAAGCAGGGACACUCAGCAUCUGCAGAACAGCUGCAGUUCUCAUGCAGCAAUAACCUUUAGCUAAUUUGUCUUCAAAACAUGUCUAUGUGGAACUUGGGAAAGUGAAAAGGAAACAUUUCUAUUACUGCAUUAAUCAAAAGAGCAAGAAAAUGCUGGUAAAGCACUGAAUAUGCUUUUCAUCAAAAUAGUUUAUUAAGUAGUUCAUAAAACUGGAAUCUAGUUCUGAAAUUAAUAGGCGGAAAACCCAUAUAAACUACUAAAUUCUGUUGUCAUGAUCUGUCAAAAACGCCAGAUGCCUCUU